rnacentral:rRNA from 1 species
AGUGAACGCUGGCGGUAGGCCUAACACAUGCAAGUCGAACGGCAGCACAGUAAGAGCUUGCUCUUACGGGUGCCGAGUGGCGGACGGGUGCGAAAUACAUCCGAAUCUACUUUUUCGUGGGGGCUAACGCAGGGAAACUUACGCCAAUACCGCAUACGACCUACGGGUGAAAGCAUGGGAUCUUAGGCCCUUGCGCGAUUGUAUGUGCCGAUGUCGGAUUAGCUAGUUGGCGGGGUAAAGGCCCACCAAGGCGACGAUCCGUAGCUGGUCUGAGAGGAUGAUCAGCCACACUGGAACUGAGACACGGUCCAGACUCCUACGGGAGGCAGCAGUGGGGAAUAUUGGACAAUGGGCGCAAGCCUGAUCCAGCCAUACCGCGUGUGUGAAGAAGGCCUUCGGGUUGUAAAGCCCUUUUGGUGGGAAAGAAAAGCAGCAGGUUAAUACCCCGCUGUUCUGACGGUACCCAAAGAAUAAGCACCGGCUAACUUCGUG